rnacentral:rRNA from 1 species
UACAGAGGUCUCAAGCGUUGUUCGGAUUCAUUGGGCGUAAAGGGUGUGUAGGUGGCGCGCUAAGUCGGGUGUGAAAUUUCGGAGCUUAACUCCGAAACUGCAUUCGAUACUGGCGUGCUUGAGGACUGGAGAGGAGACUGGAAUUCAUGGUGUAGCAGUGAAAUGCGUAGAGAUCAUGAGGAAGACCAGUGGCGAAGGCGGCUCUCUGGGCCUUUCCUGACGCUGAGACGCGAAAGCGUGGGGAGCGAACCGG